rnacentral:rRNA from 1 species
CAAACGGGUGCGGAACACGUACGCAACCUACCCAUAACUGAGGAAUAGCCCGGGGAAACCCGGAUUAAUACUUCGUAACAUAAUGAGAUGGCAUCGUCUUAUUAUUAUAGCUCCGGCGGUUAUGGAUGGGCGUGCGCCUGAUUAGGUAGUUGGCGGGGUAACGGCCCACCAAGUCUGCGAUCAGUAACUGGUGUGAGAGCACGACCAGUCACACGGGCACUGAGACACGGGCCCG